rnacentral:rRNA from 1 species
AACGAACGCUGGCGGCAUGCCUAACACAUGCAAGUCGAACGAGACCUUCGGGUCUAGUGGCGCACGGGUGCGUAACGCGUGGGAACCUGCCUUUAGGUUCGGAAUAACUCAGAGAAAUUUGAGCUAAUACCGGAUGAUGUCUUCGGCCCAAAGAUUUAUCGCCUUUAGAUGGGCCCGCGUUGGAUUAGCUGGUUGGUGGGGUAAAGGCUUACCAAGGCGACGAUCCAUAGCUGGUCUGUGAGGAUGGUCAGCCACACUGGGACUGGGACACGGCCCAGACUCCUACGGAAGGCAGCAGUGGGGAAUAUUGCACAAUGGGCGGAAGCAUGAUCCAGCAAUGACGCGUGAGUGCUGAAGGCCUUAGGGUUGUAAAGCGCUUUUACCCGAGAUGAUAAUGACAGUAUCGGGAGAAUAAGCUCCGGCUAACUCCGUG